UUUGUAUGAGAAAGACCAAAAUAUCAUGCUAUAUCUUACCUCUAUUGUAAGCAGAUUUCUAGAGCAAUUAAAGAGUGAUACAAAGCUAAACUAGAACUACUACAAUAUGAGUUGGACCAAAUCAGCCAAUGUACAAUUUAUGGCUACAAAUACUUUCAACAACAAACCAAACAACCUCAUUCCUGAAAUGAGUAGCCACCAUACUCAGUUAUGCAUGCCAAAGAUCAAAAGUGUGUACCUGGAAAUGGAAAGAUACAAAUUAUGGAGAAUCAGCAGUAGCAGUAGCAGAUAUCAACAACAAUAACAGCAACAAACACAGCCCAAACUUGGUAAAUGAACCCAAGAGAUUAACCCCAAAAGACCAAUGGAUCAGUAGUUUCAACAGUUUUAUCAGAAAUUAAUCAAAAGAUUUUGAUGGAACAGUACUUUUCUUAUUAAUCCUUUGGGCAGUUUUGAUCUCAGAAGGUCUAAACUCUCACUCUCACCAAAAAUCUAUAUCUCAGUCUUUCUCCCCCCUCCCCUUUUACUUUAUCUGUGUGUGUCUGUAUAUACUUCAUAAACUACCCCUUUCCAGCUCUUCUUUUUCUUUACAGUUGUAUUGUUUUCCUUUUUCGAAAUGUCCCCCCAUGUUAUCUUACAUUCCAACUCUAAAAAGGCAUUAAGCUAACCACUGUCAGUCUCCUUUUCAUUUUUAAUUCAUUCCACUACUUAGUGCUUAUAAUUUAUUAGUUCAUUAGUGCAUUUCCUAGACCCUACCACUGGUUAACAACCUCUUAAGUGGGUAAGCACUUGAAUCUAUACAAUCCCUAGCCUACCCUUAAGAUACAAUGUUAUUUAAUAUAUCCUAAAAUUCUGAAUACUUAUAAAUAAAAGACACACAAAUCAAUAUAAAUGCACUCCGAAAUUAAGAAAGCACCUAACAACUGAAUCACAUUAACUCAUUUGAAGAAUUAAUCCAUUAUAAGAACUCUAAAUGGAACUUUCAAACAUGCUAGAAGACUGACGAUUUCCAAAACACAUUCGAAUAAGCCUCGACCAAUUCAAUUUGAGAGGCUUGAAUUAAACCUAGACCUUUCUUAUAUGAUUAUAAAUCCGAAAAUGCUAUUGGAACAAAAUUAAUGCAGAUGAAGAAAAUAGACUUGUGGACAGAAGGAUAACUGAGAAAGAUGCUGAAGAAAGAAAACAAGAAGAAAAGAAGAAGAAUAAAAGGGAAAACAAAUUAAAAAAUGAACAGAAAAAUGAAAGGGAACUCACCAAACAGGCUUGAACUCAGGUUUGGCUUUGAUACUGUGACUCACCCCAAACUGAUGCUAAUCAUUUGUUCUUUAUUAAGAACAAACGACCAACAUCGGUUUUGUAGUGACUUGACCUUCUAAUCACAAAACAGAGGUUUGGAUCGAUGCGUGUCAUCAGGCUCAACGGAAACUGAUUUUGAACUUUUAGGUUCGAACUUAGAUUUAAAAUUCGACGAGUUCUGGUCAGAUUUGAAGGAAACUAAUAAUGGAUUUGGUAAGAGGGGCUCGGGGUGGUUCUAUGGUGUAAAGAUGAGGGUGAACGGAGCUGGCGCUGCCACCCUGAGGUGGUGAGGGUAUGGUGGCGGCGUCUUUUGGGUUUGGUUAGAGACGAAAGGGUUGAGGGG
rnacentral:lncRNA from 1 species